UGGCGGAAUGGUUUACACAUGCAAGUCGAACGGCAGCACGGGGCAACCUGGUGGCGAGUGGCGAACGGGUGAGUAAUACAUCGGAACGUGCCCAAUCGUGGGGGAUAACGUAGCGAAAGUUACGCUAAUACCGCAUACGAUCUACGGAUGAAAGCGGGGGAUCGCAAGACCUCGCGCGAAUGGAGCGGCCGAUGUCAGAUUAGGUAGUUGGUGGGGUAAAGGCUCACCAAGCCGACGAUCUGUAGCUGGUCUGAGAGGACGACCAGCCACACUGGGACUGAGACACGGCCCAGACUCCUACGGGAGGCAGCAGUGGGGAAUUUUGGACAAUGGGCGCAAGCCUGAUCCAGCCAUUCCGCGUGCAGGAUGAAGGCCUUCGGGUUGUAAACUGC
rnacentral:rRNA from 1 species